CUGGCUUCUUAUUCUUUCCCGUGUCCUCGGCAGCGUGGCUGACGGGCUCGGGGAGGCUGUAACCGAGGAGCCUUCCUUCAUGGCAUGGUCCAGCUUUGAAACAGGGUAGAGGCAGAGUGGACAGGAAGAACAAACAGGGAUCUGAGAAUUCCAGGAACUGGCCGUAGGCGAGCCAAAAUAUCCAACCAAAGUUGUGACUGUCCCACCUCAGGAAGGAAAACUGAACUGGUUCAUACAGCCUUGCUGCCACUGGUCAGAGCACCGGGUGGCCCAUGACUCAAGACAGCCAUCGCCAGCAGAUAUGGUGACCUGCAGCCCCCCACCCCUCCACGUGCUCUACACAGCCCAGCCCACAUUCCCUACCUUGGUAUCCAUUCCUGCAUUUUGCCUAAUAAAAAACAUCCCUACCCAUGUUCUCACUUAUAGGUGGGAGCUAAAUGAUAAGAACACAUGGACACAUAGAGGGGAAUAACAGACACUGGGGCCUACCUGAGGGUGGAGGGUGGGAUGAGGGAUCAAACCAGGAAAAAUAACUAAUCGGUACGAGGCUUAAUACCGAGUUGAUGAAAUAAUGUGUACAACAGACCUCCACGACACGAAUGUACCUAUAUGACAAACCUGCACAUGUACCCCUGAACUGAAAAGUUUUUAAAAAGGGAAGAAAGAAGAUGAAUACAGAAACUCAUUCUAUUUUGUGUACAGUAAUAAAAAUAAAACAUGGCUAUAAUUUGAGGUUCUAGGUGAUGUAAUAUUCCUCCAGAGUAUCCAUUUGAUUCCAGAAGACAGUCAAGAUAGGAGAAGAUCAUCAAAAUCCAAAGCCCAUGUUUCUAUGGGUUUUAAGACUGAACAAAUAAAAGGCUUUUUAAAGAUGCUAAGGAAGAAUAUUUUAAUAAACUAAUAGCUAGAAAGACAUUUUAAGGAAGGAAACAAAACACUUAAAAUCAAAGAAAAACAACACAAAAAGGCAACAUUUCUCUUCAGUAAAAUAUAACUAUAAACAAAGUUAAAAGAUGACUAAGAAAUAAUAGCACUACAUAUGAAAAAAAGUUAAAAAGCACAAUAUAUCAAGAUUUCUUAUAAACAGGAAAAAGAUGGCCGGGCAUGGUG
rnacentral:lncRNA from 1 species